CCGGCGAUAGCUCAGUUGGUAGAGCGGAGGGCUGUAAUUGUGGGCAGAAAUCCUUGGGUCGGUGAUUCGAAUCCGCCUCGCCGGA
rnacentral:tRNA from 1 species